rnacentral:rRNA from 1 species
ACGAACGCUGGCGGCGUGCCUAACACAUGCAAGUCGAGCGGAGUAUUUAGGUUUACUUAGAUACUUAGCGGCGGACGGGUGAGUAACGCGUGAGUAACCUGCCUUACACAGGGGAAUAGCCUCGGGAAACUGGGAUUAAUGCCCCAUGAUGUAUCUUGGUCGCAUGGCCGGGAUAUCAAAGUGAUAGCGGUGUAAGAUGGACUCGCGUCUGAUUAGCUAGUUGGUGAGGUAAAGGCUCACCAAGGCGUCGACGGGUAGCCGGCCUGAGAGGGUGACCGGCCACACUGGGACUGAGACACGGCC